GUCGAACGGUAACAGGAAGCAGCUUGCUGCUUUGCUGACGAGUGGCGGACGGGUGAGUAAUGUCUGGGAAACUGCCUGAUGGAGGGGGAUAACUACUGGAAACGGUAGCUAAUACCGCAUAACGUCGCAAGACCAAAGAGGGGGACCUUCGGGCCUCUUGCCAUCGGAUGUGCCCAGAUGGGAUUAGCUAGUAGGUGGGGUAACGGCUCACCUAGGCGACGAUCCCUAGCUGGUCUGAGAGGAUGACCAGCCACACUGGAACUGAGACACGGUCCAGACUCCUACGGGAGGCAGCAGUGGGGAAUAUUGCACAAUGGGCGCAAGCCUGAUGCAGCCAUGCCGCGUGUAUGAAGAAGGCCUUCGGGUUGUAAAGUACUUUCAGCGGGGAGGAAGGUGUUGAGGUUAAUAACCUCAGCAAUUGACGUUACCCGCAGAAGAAGCACCGGCUAACUCCGUGCCAGCAGCCGCGGUAAUACGGAGGGUGCAAGCGUUAAUCGGAAUUACUGGGCGUAAAGCGCACGCAGGCGGUCUGUCAAGUCGGAUGUGAAAUCCCCGGGCUCAACCUGGGAACUGCAUUCGAAACUGGCAGGCUAGAGUCUUGUAGAGGGGGGUAGAAUUCCAGGUGUAGCGGUGAAAUGCGUAGAGAUCUGGAGGAAUACCGGUGGCGA
rnacentral:rRNA from 1 species